rnacentral:rRNA from 1 species
CGGAUGGGCCUGCGGCGCAUUAGCUAGUUGGUGAGGUAACGGCUCACCAAGGCGACGAUGCGUAGCCGACCUGAGAGGGUGAACGGCCACACUGGGACUGAGACACGGCCCAGACUCCUACGGGAGGCAGCAGUAGGGAAUCUUCCGCAAUGGACGCAAGUCUGACGGAGCAACGCCGCGUGAGUGAUGAAGGUUUUCGGAUCGUAAAGCUCUGUUGCCAGGGAAGAACGCCAAGGAGAGUAACUGCUCUUUGGGUGACGGUACCUGAGAAGAAAGCCCCGGCUAACUACGUGCCAGCAGCCGCGGUAAUACGUAGGGGGCAAGCGUUGUCCGGAAUUAUUGGGCGUAAAGCGCGCGCAGGCGGUUUUUUAAGUCUGGUGUUUAAUCCCGAGGCUCAACCUCGGUUCGCACC